GAUGAAGAACGUAGCGAAAUGCGAUAAGUAAUGUGAAUUGCAGAAUUCAGUGAAUCAUCGAAUCUUUGAACGCACAUUGCGCCCCCUGGUAUUCCGGGGGGCAUGCCUGUUCGAGCGUCAUUUCACCACUCAAGCCUCGCUUGGUAUUGGGCAACGCGGUCCGCCGCGUGCCUCAAAUCUACCGGCUGGGUCUUCUGUCCCCUAAGCGUUGUGGAAACUUUCGCUAAAGGGUGUUCGGGAGGCUACGCCGUAAAACAACCCCAUUUCUAAGGUUGACCUCGGAUCAGGUAGGGAUACCCGCUGAACUUAAGCAUAUCAAUAAGCGGAGGA
rnacentral:misc_RNA from 1 species